rnacentral:lncRNA from 1 species
AUGGCAACCCGCCGGUUGAGCAGCCUCUCUCGUUGCCAUGGAAACCGGCCCCGGUGCCGUCGCCGCUCGCUCCCUGCGAUGCCGGUGGGGCGGUUGGGGCCGUGCUCCCGGACCCGCCGCGGGGCUGGGGUCACCCCCCGGUCCCGGUGGCACCCCGGCCGCGGGGAUGCCCCUCGGGGUCCGGCUGCGGAGACCCCUGGGCGGGCGCUGGGGGUGCAGCAGGACAGGACCCGGUGCCCCCGGCCAGCCCGCGCAGCCCCGUGCGUCCCCGUUCUCGGGGCAGCAGACGCGGGGGCAGAGCUGGGUGUGCGCGAGGGGCAGCUCUGUGCAGAGCCGGCACCGGGAGGGGCUGGGGCCCCCCUGCCCCAGCCCGCAGCCGUGGGGAGAGCAGAGCCCUGGGGUGUCCCACUUGGGCGCAGUGGGGCUGGGAGUGCGCUGCCGGGGACGUGGGGCGGCCGUGCCACGGGCCCUGGCUGUGGCUGCCAUCGUGUGCCAGCUCCGGGCCCUCGCUCAGCCCGGGCUCGGCGCGAGGUGGCUGCAGGGGCACGGGUGGGUCGCGGGGCGGCUGCUCUGUGCCAGCCCACGGCCUGGACCCGCGGCCGCCUCACAGCACAUUCCUCCCCGUGCCGCUCCCGGCAGCUUGCUGUAAGUGGGGCACUGAUGCCAUGCCUGGCCCCGUGCCAGGCGCCUGCGUGUGCCCGGGCGCAGGGGCCACUUGCAGCUGACGGCAGGCCGUGUGCCCGCAGAGAGCCACCUGGCGCCCUCCGGCCCCGGUCCCCUGCCCGUGCCCUUGUGCUGCCCCGGCCCUGCUGCCGGCCCCAGUCCCGGCCGCCCGGCAGUGCUUGGGCCACACCAAGGCUUGUUGGAGCACGCACCGUGGGGGCCACGGCCAAGGGGUCUGCCGUGGGCCUAGCAGGGGUAGGCUGGGGCCGUGCUGUGGUCGGCCCCGAGCCCCUGGCACGCGCCGUGCGACCACAGGCCCUGCCCUGUGCCGGUGGGACCCUGUGCACGGGCUGA